rnacentral:rRNA from 1 species
ACUCCUACGGGAGGCAGCAGUGGGGAAUAUUGCACAAUGGGCGCAAGCCUGAUGCAGCCAUGCCGCGUGUAUGAAGAAGGCCUUCGGGUUGUAAAGUACUUUCAGCAGUGAGGAAGGUGGAGUCGUUAAUAGCGGCCUCAUUUGACGUUAGCUGCAGAAGAAGCACCGGCUAACUCCGUGCCAGCAGCCGCGGUAAUACGGAGGAUCCAAGCGUUAUCCGGAAUCAUUGGGUUUAAAGGGUCCGUAGGCGGUUUUAUAAGUCAGUGGUGAAAUCCGGCAGCUCAACUGUCGAACUGCCAUUGAUACUGUAGAACUUGAAUUAUUGUGAAGUAACUAGAAUAUGUAGUGUAGCGGUGAAAUGCUUAGAGAUUACAUGGAAUACCAAUUGCGAAGGCAGGUUACUAACAAUAUAUUGACGCUGAUGGACGAAAGCGUGGGUAGCGAACAGGAUUAGAUACCCUGGUAGGAUAGCGU